GAUCAUGGCUCAGGAUGAACGCUAGCUACAGGCUUAACACAUGCAAGUCGAGGGGAAACGACAUCGAAAGCUUGCUUUUGAUGGGCGUCGACCGGCGCACGGGUGAGUAACGCGUAUCCAACCUGCCCACCACUUGGGGAUAACCUUGCGAAAGUAAGACUAAUACCCAAUGACGUCUCUAGAAGACAUCUGAAAGGGAUUAAAGAUUUAUCGGUGAUGGAUGGGGAUGCGUCUGAUUAGCUUGUUGGCGGGGUAACGGCCCACCAAGGCAACGAUCAGUAGGGGUUCUGAGAGGAAGGUCCCCCACAUUGGAACUGAGACACGGUCCAAACUCCUACGGGAGGCAGCAGUGAGGAAUAUUGGUCAAUGGGCGAGAGCCUGAACUAGCCAAGUAGCGUGCAGGACGACGGCCCUAUGGGUUGUAAACUGCUUUUAUAAGGGAAUAAAGUGAGUCUCGUGAGGCUUUUUGCAUGUACCUUAUGAAUAAGGACCGGCUAAUUCCGUG
rnacentral:rRNA from 1 species